rnacentral:rRNA from 1 species
AUGGUUCCUCCGGAGCCUCCGGAACCAGCAGCAGAAAACAAGAAGGAAAGAGUCGCAGCCGGUGCUACUUUCACGUGGAUUACUGAGCACUUUGGUACUUGCCCACCGGAAGCUGAUGAGGACACGGUCAAGACAUAUGCUCGUGUCUACAUGUGGUAUGUGAUAUCCAGGACUAUGUUUGCUGAUGGCACAGGCAAGAAUGCUCCAUGGAUGUGGCUGAAGGCGUUGACCGUCUUCGAUAGCAAUUGGAGUUGGGGUUCGGCGACAGUGGCUUACUUGUAUAGACAGGUAUGA